UUCAGCGGCAAUAGUCGUUCUAUUCUACACGUACUUCAUUGGAUUUCAAUUAUUUUAAAAACUAUUAUGCAUUUUAAAAGUGUUGUUAUUUUCUACGCGGUGUAUUUCUUUACAUCAGUAUGGAGCACCGGACUAAAUAAGGAGCAAAUAGAAAAAUGUAUUUUACUAUACAAAUAUCCGAUUAAUAUCCCACACAGUAAGAAGGAGGAUUUUGGAAUUAAAUAUCCGAAUAUUGAUUUUGAAUGGAAAUUUAACCAGCCACGUCAUUUCAAUAUUAAGAAUUUAGUUUUGGCGUUAGCGUAUGAAGGAACAAAUGACAACUUUGAGAAUCGAAUGCUGACGUCCUUUGAAGUAGAUUAUUACGUCAAAAUGUUUUAUGAAUAUACCAUAAAUUUAAAACGAUGGCUUACUCGUGAAGAUAUAGUAAAUUUUUAUACAUACUUAAAAUUUGAAGGAGAACAAUUAUAUCAGG